UACGUAGGGUGCGAGCGUUAAUCGGAAUUACUGGGCGUAAAGCGUGCGCAGGCGGUUUUGUAAGCCAGAUGUGAAAUCCCCGGGCUCAACCUGGGAAUGGCAUUUGGGACUGCGAGGCUUGAGUGCGGCAGAGGAGACUGGAAUUCCUGGUGUAGCAGUGAAAUGCGUAGAUAUCAGGAGGAAUACCGAUGGCGAAGGCAGGUCUCUGGGCUGACACUGACGCUCAUGCACGAAAGCGUGGGGAGCAAACAGG
rnacentral:rRNA from 1 species